GGUCGGUGCGUGGCGACGUCUGCGGUGGUACGUAGGGGGUAGGUGUGGAGCGGAGGUAUUGGGUUGAAAGGGUGUGUAGGCGGGUUAGUAAGGCAGUUGGUAAAGACUGCAGCUGGACUGUCACGGGGCAAUGUAGACUGGUGGACUUGAGUACGGAGGAGGUAAGCGGAAUGGACGGUGUAGCGGUGAAAGGCGUAGAUAGCGUCCAGAACACCGAUAGCGAAGGCAGCUUACUAAGGAGUAACUGACGCGGAGGCACGAAAGUGUGGGGAUCAAACAGGAUUAGAUACCCCAGUAGUC
rnacentral:rRNA from 1 species